rnacentral:rRNA from 1 species
GACGAACGCUGGCGGCGUGCUUAACACAUGCAAGUCGAACGGAAGGCCCUGCUUUUGUGGGGUGCUCGAGUGGCGAACGGGUGAGUAACACGUGAGUAACCUGCCCUUGACUUUGGGAUAACUUCAGGAAACUGGGGCUAAUACCGGAUAGGAGCUCCUGCUGCAUGGUGGGGGUUGGAAAGUUUCGGCGGUUGGGGAUGGACUCGCGGCUUAUCAGCUUGUUGGUGGGGUAGUGGCUUACCAAGGCUUUGACGGGUAGCCGGCCUGAGAGGGUGACCGGCCACAUUGGGACUGAGAUACGGCCCAGACUCCUACGGGAGGCAGCGGUGGGGAAUAUUGCACAAUGGGCGGAAGCCUGAUGCAGCAACGCCGCGUGCGGGAUGACGGCCUUCGGGUUGUAAACCGCUUUCGCCUGUGACGAAGCGUGAGUGACGGUAAUGGGUAAAGAAGCACCGGCUAACUACGUG